rnacentral:lncRNA from 1 species
UCCUAUGUAGGUGAUUAGUAUGUUUGGAUGCAGGAUGACUUACUAGAGAUAUUAUCAAAAAUCAGGAUGUAUAAUGUGAUCCAUGUAUUCUAGCUCACAGACAAAUGGCUAAGCAUCAAACUAGGACCUCUCUUAGGAUCAUAAAUCUUCCUGGCGAUCGUCAUGGUUUGUAGUACAAUUUCUGAUGACAAGGAUCUUCAGAAGAGGCAACAACAUAGCAUACUUGUGUGUCUGCUCAAGCAGAUAACAUGACUUAUUCAAGUCUAAUAUUAGAAUUUCAGAUACCAGUGGAAAAUAGAGGAAUCUUAGAAACUCAUGCUUUUGUGUAACUGAUGAUUUUAUUUUUAUUUUUUGAUGAUCUACAAUGAAGGAAGAUAGCUCCUUAUAUAGAGGAUGAGACUCCUUCAAUCUUCAGACAAACAACACAAUAAUAUAGAAUUUGAAAAGCAUCAUGAUUUGAGUACAAUGAUUAUACAAACAAACAAACAGCUUUUUGAUUAAGAGGCCACUUUUGAUAGGGAUGGAAUCUAUUGUAUAAACUUUUGAUAAAGAAAAAAAUACUUUAUCAAUUAUUUAACAAUACAAUUGAAAACUCACACAAAAUGAUAAAAUACUUUUAUUAUGCUAGUUGGAUGAUUUUUGUGAUUCACGACUCACGAGAUACCAAGAUUUUGUGGUCAUUGCUAGUUCAUCUGAGUUUUCAGAAUCUAACGAUAGUCCAGCUUGCAUAUUUUUCAUCUUGUUAUUUUCUUCUUGUAGCCAAUGUUCUAAUUUUUCAAAAUUUUCUGGAUUAUAAGGGUCAAAAAGGUAAGACCAGGGAUCUUGAGGAUUUUGAAGCUGGGAUGUUGCUAGCUCGCAUUAGCAUCAACUUGAACCUUCAUAUGAUACAUUUUCUUUUCCUUUUGAUUUUUUCCUCCUUAACUGUGGAUUGUCUCUUCCAGUGUAGAAUAUACUAGUAAGGAUGUUUUCAUUCAACACUUUUCAUAACCUUUCUCUGAGUUGUUGUAGCUCAAGGGCGUUUUCUGAGUAUUUGGAUGUGUGACCUAAGCUUUAUGUUGGCCUUCGUGGAUACAAUUGAUUUCAAAAGUUGUCAAGGUGAUAAUCAUUAGGAGGAACAUAGUUCAUUGCCAAUAUUUUCCAUGGUUAGGCAAAAUUUUUGAAUGUAUUAUUUGGUUGAAUUCUGUCAUUUUUCUUCCGGAAUGUUCUAAAUUUUUAAAGAUAUUGUUUGGUUGAAUUCUGACAUAUUGUCUGACAACCAUGUAUUGGUAUUUCAGCAUGAGUUCUUUUGUAACAACCCAGGCUUUGUGUCGAAGCUUUAUGCACUGUCCACUAUAGGAAAGCUUGAGUCCAUCUUAUUCCCUUACAGAUUUCUAUCAUAUUCCCAGGAUUCGAACACAUGACCUUUCCUUAAGAGAGAUUUAAGUUGAGUCCUGGUACUAAUUGAAAGUGAACGGCUUCGACGCAGAGAUUGGAUCAUUACACUUUUGAUCUUGAAUGGAUUGUCCUGUUCCUCAUCAGGUUUUGAAGUUCAAGAGAUAAAUUUUAGAUUGGAGGAUUUUGUGAGGAUAUAGUUGAGGGCGGAUUGAGCAUCGGAUGAUAGCAAUCUGUAAUUGAAUGCGAGGUAUUGUUCUGGAGAAUAAAUCGACUAAGAUAUUAGAUUUGCCUUUGAUAUGUUUGACUUCAAAGUUAAAAUUGAAAAAUCAUUCUACCCAUUCCAAGAGCUGUGAGUUUGGAAUUUGUUUCUUUAUGAAGUUCACAUUUGAGGAAAUGCCAUAAUGUCCAUUUCAACUAGAAAUUUAUGACCGUUGGAAUUUCUCAGUUUCUCUUUUCACUGCAAGGAUUUCUUUGAAUUUAGAGUCGUAAUAUUUUUCAGAUUCCUUGAACAUAGCACUUUUUGUACCAUAAAUUCUCCUUUCACCAUCCUUUUGUUCUAGAAUUACUGCGUAUAUAUUAUUUGCAUCUGUCUGUAAAAUUCUCCUUCCCUCAGUAAGGACUUGUAAUUCUAAAAGAUUAUUGAUUCUGUUUUUGAUCUUCUUAAUAACCUGAGUCUGUUUGUAUGACCACUGUAGAUUAUUGUUCUUCAACAUGUCUUGUAGAUGUCUUAUAAUGGGGGCUAGUUGCUUAAAGAAGUUAAUCUUAUAAUUCACAAUCCCAAUAAACUAUUGGACUUGUUGUCUAGUCAAAUUUUCACCAGGAAACUUGAGAA